rnacentral:rRNA from 1 species
GACAGAGGUCCCGAGCGUUAUCCGGAUUUAUUGGGUUUAAGGGUGCGUAGGCGGCCUGUUAAGUCAGGGGUGAAAGACGAUAGCUCAACUAUCGCAGUGCCUUUGAUACUGAUGGGCUUGAAUGUACUUGAGGUAGGCGGAAUGUGACAAGUAGCGGUGAAAUGCAUAGAUAUGUCACAGAACACCAAUUGCGAAGGCAGCUUACUAAAGUAUGUUUGACGCUGAGGCACGAAAGCGUGGGGAUCAAACAGG